rnacentral:rRNA from 1 species
AUACGGAGGAUCCGAGCGUUAUCCGGCUUUAUUGGGUUUAAAGGGUGCGCAGGCGGGAGAUUAAGUCGGCGGUGAAAUUUUGCAGCUCAACUGGAAAAGGGCCUUCGAGACUGGGUUCCUUGAGUGUGGAUGAAGGAGGGGGCAUUUGUGGGUGAGAGGGGAAAUGCUUAGAUAUCACGAGGAACUCCGAUUGCGCAGGCAGCUUACUAAACCACUACUGACGCUCAGGCACGAAGGCGUGGGGAUCAAACAGGAUUAGAUACCCUGGUAGUCCACGCAGUAAACGAUGAUUACUGGCUGUUUGCGAUACAAUGUAAGCGGCUGAGCGAAAGCGUUAAGUAAUCCACCUGGGGAGUACGUUCGCAAGAAUGAAACUCAAAUGAAUUGACGGGG